UGUAAAGAACAGAAACUGCUAUUUGUUAAUAACUGGAAUCUUUUCUGGGAGCGUCCUAGACUGUUUCGCGCUGAUGGAUUACACCCCAGUCGAGUCGGAGCGGAGCUUCUCUCUGACAACAUCUCCAGGACACUUCGCUCCAUGUGACUAGAUUUACACAAGCUCCAGUCUGGAUCCAGAACACCUGAGAAGAGAUGAUGCUGACCCUCAGAGGACCUCAGAUGAUGCUAACCCUGAAUGAACAAACAGAACUAACAAUUAUUCCUAAAUGUGUGACUUAAUCAUAUAAUAACUUAAUUAAUAAUAUUGAUAGUUCAUCGUCUAGCUGACUACGUCUUGUAUUAUUAUUAUUUUUUAGUUUUUCUAAAAUCCUGUCAAAUGUGCACAAACUACUAGCUACUACUAAAUAUUGUAGAAACAUAAUUUUCUGUAAAGUUGCUUUGUAACGAUUUGUUUUGUAAAAAGCGCUAUACAAAUAAACUUGAAUAAACAAACACA